UCCCACCGCGUCGCCUCAUUCCCUGGAAAAAAAAACAUCCCUUCUUUCUUCUCUCACGAAGCACCUUCUUCCUAGGGUUCGGCCACGCCGCCGCUUUCUCCACGCCGUCUCCUGACUGUGCGCCACCGCUCGACCGCGCCGAAUCCCACCUAUCCGCCGCUGCUCGCCCGCUCGGCCCCGCCUGUGCUCGAGCUCCGCCAGGACAUGAGCUCGCCCGACCGACCAGCACAUCUAGGACCUGGCAGGGCAUCAGGUGAGGCAUAAGCCGCCUCAAACUCUCCAAGGCGCAGGACUCCUCUCCCUUGACGGAACUAUCUCUGUCCUGGCGGUCAAUCAGAAAAUCGCUCCACGCUGCCUCCAGUUCUGUCAUCGGCCACUGUCUCAGCUUCUGUCCAAGCCCACUUUCUAUCGAUCCCAUGCCCUUCAUAUCCUCCUCCUCCUGGUGAUACUGCAACGCGGCGGCGCGGCGGCAGCAGCCCAAAUUUGCACGAUCCGGCCGGACACAGCUAUACAUGGCUGAUCUCAGGAGCAGCAACUAGCCUGGUGAAGUCGAUGGUUAAGAGAUAUGAGAAAGUUCAUGCGUGGGUAUCUCCUGGAUGCACCUGUUGGGGCACAAAACCUACAUGGUCAUCGUACUAAUUGGUAGCUGUAAGGUCUUAUAGUGCAAGACGAAAAUUGGCAAAUGAGAAAGUGAAAACUAACAGACAAAAAAGCAUAACAAAAUAACAUGAUCAAGGAAAAACGAAUUGGACGAACUUAAGAGAUGCUUAGUUCCCGGCCGUUCAAAACUAUUCAUCCGCAUCUGACAGUCCCUAGAUCCAUGGGUAUAUACCCCCCCGGGUAUCCACUUAUUUCCCAAAAACGAUUCAAGAAUCAAAAAGACUGAUAGGUGCUUGAUGAAAUUCCGGUAUGAGGCGUCAAGGAGAAUUCCUUCCUCACUACCUCGGCACUGUCACAGCCAAGGUAGAUUCGGCCCUCGCUAAAUAUUGAAUAGUUGUACAUCCAACCAUUGGGAAUCCUUCGGCAGUAAUUGAAAAAGUACUUAUGAUUUGUUCUUUCUGCUACCGUGGGGUUGGAAAGGAUGCUAAUUGCGGUAAUCACUUUUGUCAAGAGAGGACUGUCUGAUAAAUGUUUUUAGUUCUGUUAAUUAAAGAACAAAAAGUAGACAAGUAAUCAUGUGUGUCUAUGUUUUGUUUCUCAAUAACUAUUUAAUCAAGCUCCUACAUGCUCUGUCUCGCUAUUGAUUUUUUAGCGAUUUGGGGAUUAUUUCCAUGGUUUACUGGUGGAUGCUGAAUUAGGGAAGAGAGACGCUGCCCCAUGCCAUGGUUACAAUUUGAAGCUGGUAAUUCCGAGUGCUUAAUUAUUCGUUGCUGGUAAAAUUUACUACAUCAUUCUCUUCUUGGUCAUGCCUUUUAUUCAAUUUAUUAUGGAUGUGUCGUACAGUAUAAAUAGUUUAUGUCAUCCUUUGAGUAAUGGAGUCCUCAAGUUGUCCUUACAAAAUGAUGCAGUUGUUGCACUGAAGAAGAUGAGCGAUAAGCAGCUUACUGGAAGGAACAUGUGGUGCACUAUGAGAACAUCAGAUGAUUUGUUGUUACCAUUGAGUAAGGUGCUUAUUUGGUAUCAUUUCUUGUAUUUGGAAUUUGUGAUGUUAAAUGGAGCCCUGGACAUGCACCUUAAAUUUGCGGGCCUUGCGGUGUUCCGCUUGGCUUCCUACUAGAGAUGCAUUCAGCUUAUUUCAUGGGUAUAUACCCCCUGGGUAUCCACUUAUUUCCCAAAAACGAUUCAAGAAUCAAAAAGACUGAUAGGUGCUUGAUGAAAUUCCGGUAUGAGGCGUCAAGGAGAAUUCCUUCCUCACUACCUCGGCACUGUCACAGGUAUGUCUCUCUCGUCUCUCUCUUUGAUGCCUUGCGCUGGCGGGCAUCGUGAACGGGUGGAUGUAUGUCCGUCGUUGUAUGUGCUUGUACAUGCUUCGUUCUUACUUUUAACAAGUACAAAAUCCUUUGUUCUUACUUUUAUCUUUGUUUCCCGUGCUCAUGUACAUACAGCCAAGGUAGAUUCGGCCCCUGCUAAAUAUUGAAUAGUUGUACAUCCAACCAUUGGGAAUCCUUCGGCAGUAAUUGGAAAAGUACUUAUGAUUUGUUCUUUCUGCUACCGUGGGGUUGGAAAGGAUGCUAAUUGCGGUAAUCACUUUUGUCAAGAGAGGACUGUCUGAUAAAUGUUUUUAGUUCUGUUAAUUAAAGAACAAAAAGUAGACAAGUAAUCAUGUGUGUCUAUGUUUUGUUUCUCAAUAACUAUUUAAUCAAGCUCCUACAUGCUCUGUCUCGCUAUUGAUUUUUUAGUGAUUUGGGGAUUAUUUCCAUGGUUUACUGGUGGAUGCUGAAUUAGGGAAGAGAGACGCUGCCCCAUGCCAUGGUUACAAUUUGAAGCUGGUAAUUCCGAGUGCUUAAUUAUUCGUUGCUGGUAAAAUUUACUACAUCAUUCUCUUCUUGGUCAUGCCUUUUAUUCAAUUUAUUAUGGAUGUGUCGUAUAGUAUAAAUAGUUUAUGUCAUCCUUGAGUAAUGGAGUCCUCAAGUUGUCCUUACAAAAUGAUGCAGCUGUUGCACUGAAGAAGAUGAGCGAUAAGCAGCUUACUGGAAGGAACAUGUGGUGCACUAUGAGAACAUCAGAUGAUUUGUUGUUACCAUUGAGUAAGGGAUCUGGCGUAGAACCAACUUACAUGUGAUAUUUCAAGGCUUAUCUAUCGAAAUGAAGUUCUGCAUACAUGUUUGAGCGGUAAUUCACUUACUGGAACCUUGUCACCUGAUUUGUGCUAGCUGACUUGCACGCGGUACUUAAAAAAUACCAUACAACGACGGUUUCUUUCUAAUAGCCACAGUGUAAGCCAUCCUGAUUCCGUGCAAAUCUUAUAAACUCUACCUUUUGUACACUUGCAAUAUAUUGUUAUAUAUUCACAUUCUGACUUAAGCUUAACUUUUUCGUAGGUCCAUAAGACAAACAUAUGCUUGUUGCUUGAGAGCUAUUGAAAUGUACUUUUUUGAUGCUUCACAAACCUCCUCUCUAUGAACAUUUGUGUGUAGCUACAAGCCAAUCCAACCUAUGAUUAGAAGGGCUGGUACGGGCGAGACUAUUGGAGGAUGCCCAGUUUUUUGCGCUCUUUAUCGACACAUGUGCAUACAGACCAGUCGAUCAUCAGAAUGGAAACAUAUUGUGGAUGAACGUGAUCCCAUUGAAGUUCUUUGGCAGAAGGAAUGUGUGUUCUACAAGAUAGUAUGAGCCCCUUAUUGAUAGUAUGUCAUGAGGAUUAAAUGUGAAGCCGACACAUGUUCCCUUAUCUGCAUAUUGCUCUAUUGUCAAGGAAGAUUGGUGUGAAGAUACAAUAGUCUACUUUAACAAUUUACCACAAUGCAAAGUUAAUGGUUAGAUUUUGAAGGUGUGACGAAAUGUGCUAUUCAACGCAAAAAAAAGCUAUUUAGCAACAAAACUGUUCAUAUUUCAGUAGAGUAGAAAAUCGGCAAGUUCCUUUCAUGAUUUUUGUUUUCACUAUCUCUUCUAACAUCUUUUAUGAUCUUAUUUUAAUGUAGUGCAUUUGCUAAAUAGUUAACAAAUUUGAGUAA